rnacentral:tRNA from 1 species
UUCUUUUUGGCAGAAUAAAAUGCGUUUGAUUUAGGUUCAAACAAUAAAAUUUUUUUAAAAGGUA